GACGAACGCUGGCGGCGUGCCUAAUACAUGCAAGUAGAACGCUGAAGGAGGAGCUUGCUUCUCUGGAUGAGUUGCGAACGGGUGAGUAACGCGUAGGUAACCUGCCUGGUAGCGGGGGAUAACUAUUGGAAACGAUAGCUAAUACCGCAUAAGAGUAGAUGUUGCAUGACAUUUGCUUAAAAGGUGCAAUUGCAUCACUACCAGAUGGACCUGCGUUGUAUUAGCUAGUUGGUGGGGUAACGGCUCACCAAGGCGACGAUACAUAGCCGACCUGAGAGGGUGAUCGGCCACACUGGGACUGAGACACGGCCCAGACUCCUACGGGAGGCAGCAGUAGGGAAUCUUCGGCAAUGGACGGAAGUCUGACCGAGCAACGCCGCGUGAGUGAAGAAGGUUUUCGGAUCGUAAAGCUCUGUUGUAAGAGAAGAACGAGUGUGAGAGUGGAAAGUUCACACUGCGACGGUAUCUGACCAGAAAGGGACGGCUAACUACGUG
rnacentral:rRNA from 1 species